CCUACGGGAGGCAGCAGUGGGGAAUUUUGCGCAAUGCUCGUGAGAGUGACGCAGCGACGCCGCGUGAGUGACGAAGGCCUUCGGGUCGUAAAGUUCUUUCGACAGGGAAGAAAAUGCCGAUAAGUAAGUGUGUAUGUAUUGACGGUAACUGUAUAAGCAGCCCCGGCUAACUCCGUGCCAGCAGCCGCGAUAACACGGAGGGGGCGAGCGUUGUUCGGAGUGACUGGGCGUAAAGAGCACGUAGGCGGUGUUGUAAGUCAUUAGUUAAGGACUAGAGCUCAACUUUAGUUAGGCCAGUGAUACUAUAAUACUAGAGUACCAGAGAGGAUUGCGGAAUUCGUGGUGUAGCGGUGAAAUGCGUAGAUAUCAGGAGGAAUACCGUUAGCGAAGGCGGCAAUCUGGCUGGAAACUGACGCUGAGGUGCGAAAGCGUGGGUAGCAAACAGGAUUAGAUACCCCUGUAGUC
rnacentral:rRNA from 1 species